rnacentral:lncRNA from 1 species
AGGGACAGAAUCGAUUGGGCAAACUGUCUGAACUUCCACUUUAUGUUUAAAAUACCUCCUCUCCUCCAAAUCACGUAAGAAGGUCUUCACAUUGUGAGAGUCUGACAAUGGAUGGAGAUGUUUUGCUUAGGUCUUGAUCUUUCAGGGGAAGAAAAUGAGGACAUCAUCAAAGAGAUGUCCCUACCAGACUGACCAGCCAAUCUCGAGGAAAUUGUUUGCUACACACCAAUUGCCUCAUUUUUUAAAGAAAGCUCCUGUGGCUGUAGAAGCAGUUUGGAACUUGCCGAAGCAGUGUGAAGCGUGAGAAGUGAUGCCCAAGUUAUAUUUCGGAAGCAUCGCUAGUGCACCAUCCUGGAAGAUGUUAACGUUCAAGAAAACAUCAAACUGGGUAUCAGGCGUCUGUGGAUUCAUUCUGGAUUCCAGCAUUGUCGGUGAAGAAGAGCAUACGUUUGAUAUCGGUAUAUUUUUAUGGGGGCAAGUGGCCUCCUCAGAUAGCCGAGCAACAUAAAGGAGCCGAGUGGGAAAGGAAAA